rnacentral:rRNA from 1 species
GAGUUUGAUCAUGGCUCAGGAUGAACGCUGGCGGCGUGCUUAACACAUGCAAGUCGAACGAGGAAUUUUAAAUGAGACUUCGGUGGAUUUAAAAUUCUUAGUGGCGGACGGGUGAGUAACGCGUGGGCAACCUGCCCUGUACAGGGGGACAACAGCUGGAAACGGCUGCUAAUACCGCAUAAGACCACGGAGCCGCAUGGCUCAGUGGGAAAAACUCCGGUGGUACAGGAUGGGCCCGCGUUGGAUUAGGUAGUUGGUGAGGUAACGGCCCACCAAGCCGACGAUCCAUAGCCGACCUGAGAGGGUGACCGGCCACGUUGGGACUGAGACACGGCCCAAACUCCUACGGGAGGCAGCAGUGGGGAAUCUUCCGCAAUGGGCGAAAGCCUGACGGAGCAACGCCGCGUGAGUGAAGAAUUAUUCGGUAUGUAGAGCUCUAUCAGCAGGGAAGAAAAUGACGGUACCUGACUAAGAAGCCCCGGCUAACUACGUGCCAGCAGCCGCCGUAAG